rnacentral:rRNA from 1 species
UACGUAGGGUGCAAGCGUUGUCCGGAAUUAUUGGGCGUAAAGAGCUCGUAGGUGGCCUGUCGCGUCGGCUGUGAAAACUCGGGGCUCAACUCCGAGCUUGCAGUCGAUACGGGCAGGCUAGAGUUCGGCAGGGGAGACUGGAAUUCCUGGUGUAGCGGUGAAAUGCGCAGAUAUCAGGAGGAACACCGGUGGCGAAGGCGGGUCUCUGGGC